CGGAGGGGCUUAGCCUUGGGGCAGGGGCAUCUGCCACCCGUAUGGGGACAUUGUACACCUCCAAGCAGUAAAGAUGAGGUGGAGAUUAAAGCUGAGCCAGGAAUUUUUGGGGUCAGGGUGGCACAGAAUCAGCUUCAAGAACCACAGGCAUAAAAUCAGAAAGCGUGCCCUUGGACUAAAAGCGUUAACUCUCACUUCUCAAAGCAAUUUGGAAAUUCUCCAUUGAUAAUGGGAACUGCAGAUGCCGGAGAAUCCGAGAUCCUAAGAUGCUGCUUGGCCUGCUGUGUUCAUCCAGCUCCACACUUCGUUAUCUUGGAAACGCUCCAUUAUUUUGUUUUAAUUUCCAAUCUCCAACAUCUGCAGGAUUCUGCUAUUGAAGAUCCACCAGCUAAGUGGCAACAGUCACAGGAUUCUAAGAAAAGUCACAGGGAUUUGGAACUGCUCAGGGAGAUCAUCCAGAAAUGGACCUGAUGAUGUACAAGUUGUGCCCAGUAACACUUGGACAAUGGCACGGACAUAGCUGUGAUAUAACUAAGAUCUUCUAAGACGCAUCACCUCACACUCCUGACUUGUGCUUUGUAGAUAGUAGGAAGUGCUUUGGGGAAAAUCAGAUAUGAAGAUGGGAAGUUGGACAAACUGAGAAGCUGCCGAAACAAAACAUUUUGCCAGCUACACCGUAAAACGUGAUCCAAUUUAACAUUGGGCAAUCAUUUAAAUGCUACUCGACUGGGAAAGGUUUUCUGCAGCUUUUCCCUCUCAACUUUUGAAACUCAAAAUAAAUA